ACACGACUACAUUAGAUACCCGUGUAGUCCUAGGCGUAAAUGAUGCGAGUUAAGUNUGGGGGCAUCUACGAGAUGGCCCUGUGCUGUAGGGUAGCCGUUAAACUCGCUGCCUGGGGAGUACGUCCGCAAGGAUGAAACUUAAAGGAAUUGGCGGGGAGCACCACAACGGGUGGAGCCUGCGGUUUAAUUGGACUCAACGCCGGAAAUCUCACCGGAUAGGACAGACAUAUGAUAGUCGGGCUGAAGACUCUACUUGAUGAUCUG
rnacentral:rRNA from 1 species